rnacentral:rRNA from 1 species
AUGAAUGCUGGCGGCGUGCCUAACACAUGCAAGUCGAGUGGGUUAGACCCACGGCAGACGGGUGAGUAAUACAUAGCAAACUUACCCCAGACACGGGCAUAACCCCGCGAAAGCGGGGCUAAUUCCCGAUAUUCUCUCCGAUUGAAAUAUUGGAGAGGAAAGCUUUAGCGGUCUGGGAGAGGGCUAUGUCCUAUCAGCUAGUUGGUGCGGUAAUGGCGUACCAAGGCGAUGACGGGUAGGGGAUCUGAGAGGAUGUUCCCCCACAGUGGCACUGAGACACGGGCCACACUCCUACGGGAGGCAGCAGUUGGGAAUCGUUCGCAAUGGAGGAAACUCUGACGACGCGACGCCGCGUGGAGGAAGAAGGCCUUCGGGUCGUAAACUCCUUUUCCCAGGGACGAUACUGACGGUACCUGGGGAAUAAGGACCGGCCAACUACGUGCCAGCAGCCGCGGUAAGACGUAGGGUCCAAGCAUUAUCCGGAUUUAUUGGGCGUAAAGGGUAGGUAGGUGGCUAUACAAGUUCGUGGUUAAAUCCUUCGGCUCAACCGAAGAACCGCUACGAAGACUGUACGGCUAGAGGCCAGCAGGGGCACAUGGAAUUUCCGGUGUAGGGGUGAAAUCCGUUGAUAUCGGAAGGAACACCAGUGGCGAAGGCGGUGUGCUAGGCUGGAUCUGACACUGAGCUACGAAAGCGUGGGGAGCGAAACGGAUUAGAUACCCGUGUAGUCCGCGCCCUAAACGUUGCCGACUAGCUCUCGGGAGUAUCGACCCUCCUCGGAGCGAAGCUAACGCGUUAAGUCGGCCGCCUGGGAAGUACGGCCGCAAGGCUAAAACUCAAAGGAAUUGACGGGGACUCGCACAAGCGGUGGAGCAUGAGGUUUAAUUCGUAGACAAGCGAAGCACCUUACCUGGGUUUGAGACGCAUGUUUGUAGGUGAGCAGAGACGUUCACCGACCGUUAAAUCGGAAGCAUGUACAGGUGAUGCACGGUCGUCGUCAGCUCGUGCUGUGAAGUGUUCGGUUCAGUCCGGUAACGAGCGCAACCCCUAUUCUAUGUUGUAUUUCUCAUAGAAGACCGCCUCGGUUAACGGGGAGGAAGGUGGGGAUGACGUCAGAUCAGCGUGUUCCUUAUAUCCAGGGCGACACUCGUGCUACAAUGGCCGUUACAAAGGGUUGCCAAGCCGCAAGGCGGAGCUAAUCCCGGCAAAAACGGCCCCAGUUCGGAUUGUCGGCUGCGACUCGCCGACAUGAAGCCGGAAUCGCUAGUAACCGUGAAUCAGCCAUGUCACGGUGAAUACGUUCUCGAGUCUUGUACACACCGCCCGUCAAGUGAGCCGAGUAGGCAAUACCAGAACAUCGAUUGUGUCGGUGGCAGGUAGGGUCUGUGAGGAGCACU